rnacentral:lncRNA from 1 species
GCUGCUUCUUGUUUAAUUUAAACUAGUUCAACAAUUUACCCCAAAAAAACUAGUUUAACAUGAUAUUGGUUCCUAGGUAGUUACCUAAAUUAACCUGAUUCCAUUUGAAUCGAGGUCCCACAAGCAUUGAUUUUGACUCAAGAUGUAAAUAUGAAAAUUUACGGCAGUUUCAUGUAGGGGUACAAAUAGGUCGGGCUGGAUCGGAUCAUGA